GUUAUAUGGUCAAGUGAAGAAGCGCAUACGGUGGAUGCCUUGGCAGUCAGAGGCGAUGAAAGACGUGGUAGCCUGCGAAAAGCUUCGGGGAGUCGGCAAACAGACUUUGAUCCGGAGAUCUCUGAAUGGGGGAACCCAUCUAGGAUAACCUAGGUAUCUUGUACUGAAUCCAUAGGUGCAAGAGGCGAACCAGGGGAACUGAAACAUCUAAGUACCCUGAGGAAAAGAAAUCAACCGAGAUUCCCUUAGUAGUGGCGAGCGAACGGGGAUUAGCCCUUAAGCUUCAUUGAUUUUAGCGGAACGCUCUGGAAAGUGCGGCCAUAGUGGGUGAUAGCCCCGUACGCGAAAGGAUCUUUGAAGUGAAAUCGAGUAGGACGGAGCACGAGAAACUUUGUCUGAACAUGGGGGGACCAUCCUCCAAGGCUAAAUACUACUGACUGACCGAUAGUGAACCAGUACCGUGAGGGAAAGGCGAAAAGAACCCCGGAGAGGGGAGUGAAAUAGAACCUGAAACCGUAUGCGUACAAGCAGUGGGAGCCUACUUGUUAGGUGACUGCGUACCUUUUGUAUAAUGGGUCAGCGACUUAUAUUCAGUGGCAAGCUUAACCGUAUAGGGUAGGCGUAGCGAAAGCGAGUCUUAAUAGGGCGUUUAGUCGCUGGGUAUAGACCCGAAACCGGGCGAUCUAUCCAUGAGCAGGUUGAAGGUUAGGUAACACUGACUGGAGGACCGAACCCACUCCCGUUGAAAAGGUAGGGGAUGACUUGUGGAUCGGAGUGAAAGGCUAAUCAAGCUCGGAGAUAGCUGGUUCUCCUCGAAAGCUAUUUAGGUAGCGCCUCAUGUAUCACUCUGGGGGGUAGAGCACUGUUUCGGCUAGGGGGUCAUCCCGACUUACCAAACCGAUGCAAACUCCGAAUACCCAGAAGUGCCGAGCAUGGGAGACACACGGCGGGUGCUAACGUCCGUCGUGAAAAGGGAAACAACCCAGACCGCCAGCUAAGGUCCCAAAGUUGUGGUUAAGUGGUAAACGAUGUGGGAAGGCUUAGACAGCUAGGAGGUUGGCUUAGAAGCAGCCACCCUUUAAAGAAAGCGUAAUAGCUCACUAGUCGAGUCGGCCUGCGCGGAAGAUGUAACGGGGCUCAAACCACACACCGAAGCUGCGGGUGUCACGUAAGUGACGCGGUAGAGGAGCGUUCUGUAAGCCUGUGAAGGUGAGUUGAGAAGCUUGCUGGAGGUAUCAGAAGUGCGAAUGCUGACAUGAGUAACGACAAUGGGUGUGAAAAACACCCACGCCGAAAGACCAAGGGUUCCUGCGCAACGUUAAUCGACGCAGGGUUAGUCGGUUCCUAAGGCGAGGCUGAAAAGCGUAGUCGAUGGGAAACAGGUUAAUAUUCCUGUACUUCUGGUUACUGCGAUGGAGGGACGGAGAAGGCUAGGCCAGCUUGGCGUUGGUUGUCCAAGUUUAAGGUGGUAGGCUGAAAUCUUAGGUAAAUCCGGGGUUUCAAGGCCGAGAGCUGAUGACGAGUCGUCUUUUAGAUGACGAAGUGGUUGAUGCCAUGCUUCCAAGAAAAGCUUCUAAGCUUCAGGUAACCAGGAACCGUACCCCAAACCGACACAGGUGGUCGGGUAGAGAAUACCAAGGCGCUUGAGAGAACUCGGGUGAAGGAACUAGGCAAAAUGGCACCGUAACUUCGGGAGAAGGUGCGCCGGCUAGGGUGAAGGAUUUACUCCGUAAGCUCUGGCUGGUCGAAGAUACCAGGCCGCUGCGACUGUUUAUUAAAAACACAGCACUCUGCAAACACGAAAGUGGACGUAUAGGGUGUGACGCCUGCCCGGUGCCGGAAGGUUAAUUGAUGGGGUUAGCGCAAGCGAAGCUCUUGAUCGAAGCCCCGGUAAACGGCGGCCGUAACUAUAACGGUCCUAAGGUAGCGAAAUUCCUUGUCGGGUAAGUUCCGACCUGCACGAAUGGCGUAACGAUGGCGGCGCUGUCUCCACCCGAGACUCAGUGAAAUUGAAAUCGCUGUGAAGAUGCAGUGUAUCCGCGGCUAGACGGAAAGACCCCGUGAACCUUUACUGUAGCUUUGCACUGGACUUUGAGCCUGCUUGUGUAGGAUAGGUGGGAGGCUUUGAAGCGUGGACGCCAGUUCGCGUGGAGCCAUCCUUGAAAUACCACCCUGGCAUGCUUGAGGUUCUAACUCUGGUCCGUAAUCCGGAUCGAGGACAGUGUAUGGUGGGCAGUUUGACUGGGGCGGUCUCCUCCUAAAGAGUAACGGAGGAGUACGAAGGUGCGCUCAGACCGGUCGGAAAUCGGUCGUAGAGUAUAAAGGCAAAAGCGCGCUUGACUGCGAGACAGACACGUCGAGCAGGUACGAAAGUAGGUCUUAGUGAUCCGGUGGUUCUGUAUGGAAGGGCCAUCGCUCAACGGAUAAAAGGUACUCCGGGGAUAACAGGCUGAUACCGCCCAAGAGUUCAUAUCGACGGCGGUGUUUGGCACCUCGAUGUCGGCUCAUCACAUCCUGGGGCUGAAGCCGGUCCCAAGGGUAUGGCUGUUCGCCAUUUAAAGUGGUACGCGAGCUGGGUUUAGAACGUCGUGAGACAGUUCGGUCCCUAUCUGCCGUGGACGUUUGAGAUUUGAGAGGGGCUGCUCCUAGUACGAGAGGACCGGAGUGGACGAACCUCUGGUGUUCCGGUUGUCACGCCAGUGGCAUUGCCGGGUAGCUAUGUUCGGAAAAGAUAACCGCUGAAAGCAUCUAAGCGGGAAACUUGCCUCAAGAUGAGAUCUCACUGGGAACUUGAUUCCCCUGAAGGGCCGUCGAAGACUACGACGUUGAUAGGCUGGGUGUGUAAGCGUUGUGAGGCGUUGAGCUAACCAGUACUAAUUGCCCGUGAGGCUUGACCAUAUAACACCCAAACA
rnacentral:rRNA from 1 species